rnacentral:misc_RNA from 1 species
AUUCUAAACAUUUUUUAAACUGGAGGGAGAUGAGUUGAUUGGGAACGUUGUGUUAACUGGAUUUUUACGAGCCUGUUCCGUGAAUGCUUUGGGAAUGGAACAUCUAAUUAGAUCCACAAUCAGCUGUAGUUUCACUACGCUCACGCUCGCUCAAAUCAAUGAAGAUGACAUUUUGUGUAUGUUACUCCUUAAAAAACCACAUGACAGAACAUUAGAUGACCUUGAGAUUAUCUAUGAGGAGCUGCUUCACAUCAAAGCUUUAUCCCACUUGUCGACCAGUGUCAAGCGGGAACUAGCCAGUGUUCUUGUGUUCGAAUCCCAUGCCAAGGCAGGCACAGUUUUGUUCAAUCAAGGAGAUGAGGGGAAAUCUUGGUACAUCAUCCUGAAAGGCUCCGUCAAUGUAGUCAUCUAUGGCAAGGGAGCUGUAUGUACUCUACAUGAAGGAGAUGACUUUGGGAAACUGGCAUUGCUUAAUGAUGCACCAAGGGCUGCUACAAUUGUUUUACGGGAGGACAAUUGCCAUUUUCUUCGAGUUGAUAAAGAGGACUUCAACAGAAUCUUAAGGGAUGUAGAAGCAAACACAGUCAGAUUAAAAGAACACGGCCAGGAUGUGUUGGUUCUGGAGAAGAUCCCCACAAAAUCACAAGCAGCAGAUGGAACUAUGCAAUCUCACUAUAAUAGCAAGAACAGGUCUGACAAAGUUGGCCAUGUCCCUUGCAGGUAUUCUGUUAUGGCAGGUACUCCGGAGAAAAUGUUGGAACAUCUCCUGGAAACCAGACUAGACAACACAAAAUCGGAGGAAACCACAGACAGCUUCCUGGAGGACUUCCUCCUAACACAUGUGAUAUUUAUGCCCACAGAGAAGCUAUGUCCAGCAUUACUCUCAUAUUAUGAUGCCAAGUCUCUAAAAACGGAUGAGCAGGAUGCCGGCGACUAUGGACUGACCCAGAAGAAGAGCGUGGUCCAGUUCGUACAGGAGUGGCACAACCUGGCUGAGGAUAUCUUCAAUGAAGACGAACAGGUCCAGGUGUUUCUCCAGGAACUACACAGUUACGUGGAUGAAGACUGCGCCUCAUUUCCAUGCCUGGCCUCAGAACUUACAGUAUUAGAGGGCAUGAUGUCUUGUGAAAAGGGCUUUCAGUUUAUUAAUACACCUGAGGUUGGGAAGAGGCGAAUUUCUCCCAGUGUAAUGUUGACGAAGAAGAUGGCCAAUGAACUUUAUCUAGAUAGCAUUAACAAAAAACAGCCAAUCAAAGCCAACGAUGAAAAUAUAGUGAAGAUCUACUGUGCAGAUCAUACAUACAAGUACUCUACAAGGAGGACGAUCUGUGCGUCACCACCGGCCUCAGUCUGAACGGUCUCCUGUUCAUCUCCCCGCGUAAACACCUGGACGCUCUAACACCUCACCCAGAGCAAGAGGGACCCUCUAUAGGGACGGCCAACAUCCUUGAACUACUCAGCACAAAAGAAAUAGCCUAUCACAUGACUAUACAUGACUGGCAAUUAUUCAUAUGUGUACAAGAGUAUGAAUUAAUAUAUCAAGUAUUAGGAAGAUCCAAUUUUAACAAAAUCACUGCUAAUUUGGAUUUGUUUCUGCGGAGAUUUAACGAGGUGCAGUACUGGGUGGUCACUGAAAUGGUACUUGCUCAAAAUGUCGGCAAACGAGUCCAGCUUCUACGAAAGUUUAUCAAAGUUGCAGCACAUUGCAAAGAAUUCCAGAAUUUACAUUCUUUUUUUGCCAUUGUUAUGGGACUUAGCAACAUUGCAGUGAGCCGACUGUCUCAAACAUGGGAGAAACUCCCAGGGAAAUUUAAGAAAAUGUUUGCCGAUUUUGAGACGCUGAUGGAUCCUUCCAGAAACCAUCGUGUGUAUCGGUUGUCUGUCUCCAAACUCACUCCUCCUAUCAUUCCAUUCAUGCCUCUUCUGAUGAAAGAUCUGACUUUCACACAUGAUGGCAACAAAACCUACUUCGAUGGCCUUGUCAAUUUUGAGAAAAUGCAUAUGAUCGCUCAAACAAUAAGAAAUGUGCGCAUUUGUAGAAGUCGAAGAUUAGAUCUAGAACCUCCCAAUACUGCCAAGUCUUCUACUGAAGUUCAAGAUUACAUUAGAAAUUUACAAGUAAUAGACAAUCAACGAGUGUUGACUCAACUUUCUUAUAAGCUGGAACCCAGAAGAACAUGAAGGAAUGCUUCCAACAAAUUGUUCCAAAUGACAUUUGAUGUCCCUCUCCCAACAUGGAGGGAGACAACUGUGAUUGGGAAUUAUACAUUAUCUUCCACAAUCCCUUACAACUCUCUACAAGAGCAUAUAAAUAUUCAAAGUGCAAUUUCUCUCCCUUUCACCUAAUCUAAUCUAGUUGUGACUUUCAUGUACCUGGACUCGGAUUUAUUCAAGAUUCAGUAUUUUUACCCGGUUUCUUUUGUUGUGAAAAAUCAGGAAAUCUGUUAUAAUUUCUUCAAUAUUUACUCUGGAUUUUUUUUUCAUACCGGUAUCAGUUGCUGUAUCGUCUCUGUGGGUUGAAUGUCUUGACAAUCAAAUAAAUUUAUUUUGUGAUAGAUAUUUUUAAAAAAGAGAGAUGUUUCAUAAAGAAAAAAUACAAUUAAAUUUGUUGUAC